rnacentral:lncRNA from 1 species
UGAAGACCAAAAAUCAUAGAAUGAAUUGGAAUGAUGAGACCUUCUUCAAAAAAUUCCAAGACAUCUUCUCCAGCUUGCCUAUAUAAAUCUCUCCGGUUCCUUUCUUCUAUAUUCAUCGAGACUAAAACCAGUAAUAGUGAAAGAACCAUCUUCAAUCCCAGUUUGUGUAUCCAUUUUGGUAGCAGCAGCACCAGCUAUUACUACUCGCCCUUCAUGAGAGAGGCUAUAAUUUCGUAUAAAUGAUCUUAAACUUACAAUUAAUAUUAGAUAUAAAAUUUUAUACCUUCACGAGAUAAAUGAUGUAUCACCACUGUAAAA